rnacentral:ncRNA from 1 species
GAUCUUCAGGGCAGGGUGAAAUUCCCGACCGGCGGUAAAGUCCGCGAGCGCCUCGGCGCAGGAACCGGUGUGAUUCCGGUACCGACAGUACAGUCUGGAUGGAAGAAGAU